CCCUCGACGCUUAACGGCAACAGAGGAUGAACAAGUAAAAGCUACGUGUUUGGCAGCCCAAGCCAUCGAAACCACCCCACUGACAAAUGCUAAACCAUGCAGGCGGUACACUUUAGUUUCCUAUCUGGUAUUCACCUGCUUUCCGGCACACACACACACACAAAAUCGUAUCCCCGACUACAAUGUUCUAUUUUCGUGACUGUAUUGAAUGCUAGUUUGUCAUUGGUAUGUUUGUUUGCUCCUUUUCCCUUUAGUAAAAAGUUCUUUUUUUGUUGUUAUAUUUACAAAUUGGCUGUUGUUCUUCGUGUGGUUACGCUUGUCAUUAUAGUGGUGUCACAUGAGACACUUCCAGUGUCCGUUGUUAAGAAUCAUCAAGUUUAUUAUGAUGUGGGAUAGGAAUGGGCAAACUGCUCCUUUGCCUAAGUUUGUACAGACCAGAUCAAGUAUGAAUGACAAAGUAGGAACGGAUAGCAAUAUUGACGAAAUCUAUACGGUGUCUCGUGUGACUGAUGACCACGAAUAUGCACACCCAAACCCAAUUAUAUUGUUAAGUUUUCAGUCAACUUGGCAUUUGUUCGUUGAUUAUACAUAAAAGAAAAUAAUCAAUAAUCUCAUGCAAGAAAAACCUCUGUGUGCAUGCUCAAAUUUUCUUUUGGAAGGAAACUAUUGUGUCACCUGUCACACGAGACACCGUCUACAUAGGCACGCAUUUGGUUGUUUUCUCGCGAAAGGUGAAUAAAAACGAUCCCAAAACUUC